rnacentral:rRNA from 1 species
GCUAACACAUGCAAGUCGAGCGGUAGCACAGAGAGCUUGCUCUCGGGUGACGAGCGGCGGACGGGUGAGUAAUGUCUGGGAAACUGCCUGAUGGAGGGGGAUAACUACUGGAAACGGUAGCUAAUACCGCAUAAUGUCGCAAGACCAAAGUGGGGGACCUUCGGGCCUCAUGCCAUCAGAUGUGCCCAGAUGGGAUUAGCUAGUAGGUGGGGUAACGGCUCACCUAGGCGACGAUCCCUAGCUGGUCUGAGAGGAUGACCAGCCACACUGGAACUGAGACACGGUCCAGACUCCUACGGGAGGCAGCAGUGGGGAAUAUUGCACAAUGGGCGCAAGCCUGAUGCAGCCAUGCCGCGUGUGUGAAGAAGGCCUUCGGGUUGUAAAGCACUUUCAGCGGGGAGGAAGGCGUUAAGGUUAAUAACCUUGGCGAUUGACGUUACCCGCAGAAGAAGCACCGGCUAACUCCGUGCCAGCAGCCGCGGUAAUACGGAGGGUGCAAGCGUUAAUCGGAAUUACUGGGCGUAAAGCGCACGCAGGCGGUCUGUCAAGUCGGAUGUGAAAUCCCCGGGCUCAACCUGGGAACUGCAUUCGAAACUGGCAGGCUAGAGUCUUGUAGAGGGGGGUAGAAUUCCAGGUGUAGCGGUGAAAUGCGUAGAGAUCUGGAGGAAUACCGGUGGCGAAGGCGGCCCCCUGGACAAAGACUGACGCUCAGGUGCGAAAGCGUGGGGAGCAAACAGGAUUAGAUACCCUGGUAGUCCACGCCGUAAACGAUGUCGAUUUGGAGGUUGUGCCCUUGAGGCGUGGCUUCCGGAGCUAACGCGUUAAAUCGACCGCCUGGGGAGUACGGCCGCAAGGUUAAAACUCAAAUGAAUUGACGGGGGCCCGCACAAGCGGUGGAGCAUGUGGUUUAAUUCGAUGCAACGCGAAGAACCUUACCUGGUCUUGACAUCCACAGAACUUUCCAGAGAUGGAUUGGUGCCUUCGGGAACUGUGAGACAGGUGCUGCAUGGCUGUCGUCAGCUCGUGUUGUGAAAUGUUGGGUUAAGUCCCGCAACGAGCGCAACCCUUAUCCUUUGUUGCCAGCGGUUCGGCCGGGAACUCAAAGGAGACUGCCAGUGAUAAACUGGAGGAAGGUGGGGAUGACGUCAAGUCAUCAUGGCCCUUACGACCAGGGCUACACACGUGCUACAAUGGCAUAUACAAAGAGAAGCGACCUCGCGAGAGCAAGCGGACCUCAUAAAGUAUGUCGUAGUCCGGAUUGGAGUCUGCAACUCGACUCCAUGAAGUCGGAAUCGCUAGUAAUCGUAGAUCAGAAUGCUACGGUGAAUACGUUCCCGGGCCUUGUACACACCGCCCGUCACACCAUGGGAGUGGGUUGCAAAAGAAGUAGGUAGCUUAACCUUCGGGAGGGCGCUA